GGACGGGUGAGUAAUGCUGGGAAACUGCCUGAUGGAGGGGGAUAACUACUGGAAACGGUAGCUAAUACCGCAUAAUGUCGCAAGACCAAAGAGGGGGACCUUCGGGCCUCUUGCCAUCGGAUGUGCCCAGAUGGGAUUAGCUUGUUGGUGGGGUAACGGCUCACCAAGGCGACGAUCCCUAGCUGGUCUGAGAGGAUGACCAGCCACACUGGAACUGAGACACGGCCAGACUCCUACGGGAGGCAGCAUG
rnacentral:rRNA from 1 species